GACGAAGGGGGCUGGCGUUGUUCGGAAUUACUGGGCGUAAAGCGCGUGUAGGCGGUUGUCCAAGUUGGAUGUGAAAGCCUUGAGCUUAACUCAAGAAAUGCAUUCAGGACUGGAUGACUAGAGGACCGGAGAGGAUAGUGGAAUUCCCAGUGUAGUGGUGAAAUACGUAGAGAUUGGGAAGAACACCAGUGGCGAAGGCGGCUAUCUGGACGGUUUCUGACGCUAAGACGCGAAAGCGUGGGGAGCAAACAGG
rnacentral:rRNA from 1 species